rnacentral:lncRNA from 1 species
UUUUGGGUUUUGGCAUAACUGAUGGAACCCAUGCGAGAAAAGCCUGAAAAUAAUCAAUAGUAGGGAGGCGGUGGAGGAGAAGCGUAUGAUACUCCGGGAAUAGGCGGUAGUGGUCCUUCGUAACCAGGAGGUGGCGGUGGUGGGCUAUGGUGAAUCACCGGAGGAGGUGGCGAAGAUGGCGGCGGACUGUAGUGAACGGACGGUGGUGGUGGAGGUGAGUUGUAGUAAACAGGGGAUGGCGGAGGACUGUAAUGUACGGUCGGAGGCGGAGGUGGAGGUGGUGAGUGAUCUAUGCAAGGUGGCGGAGGGGAAUAUACUGGCGUUGGUGGAGGUGGUGGGGAUGGAUAGUGAUAAACCGGUGGUGGUGGUGAGUGCGGUGGUGGAGGUAACCAGUAAUGUGGCGGCGGAG